UGUAUUUGCAGAAAUCGUAUUCUGGAUUUCGAUCAUAUUGGGAUGGAUGACUGUUGAUGCAACUGCUGACGAUAAAAAAGGAGAAGAGUGUACUUACAUGUAUUGGCAGUGGUGGAGCUUGCUAUCAACGAACUCUCUGAUGGAACUCGGUUUACAGUGAUUUGAUGAAUGAGAAUUAGAUAAUUAGUAAUUUUAGAAAUUGUAAUCAAUUUAUUAUUUUGUUUGAUUUUUUUUCCCUGACGUGAGAGGUGAAAGAUUGCAGGGAUUAUUUUUUGGAAACUGUAAUCAAUUUGUAAUUUUAUUUGGUUCUUUUUUCUUUAAUGACGUGAGAUGUGAGAUUAAA